AAAAAAGAAAGAGAACUGGCCCCUGCACAUAUCUAUUGUGAUUGACUGGUCAGGAAGCUGUCAAGUGUGCCGGCUUUGCAGCCUGCAUUCCCCAGGCUUCAACAUCUCCAGGUCUCCCAGGAGGUAGAGCCAAGGAACUGUUGAAAACUGUAGUGUG